UUAAGUUGAUAUCUAACUGAGACAUGAAGCCUUAUUUGAAAAAAAGGUAAUUAUCUGUUAACUUUAACAUGAGCUUUUCUUAGAGCUAACAGCAUUCUCUCUUUCCCUGCUAUUCUCUCCUCAGCAUUUUUUCUGCGGUGACCACUGGGGAAUAAAGUUGUUAGCCUUGUGCCACAGGCGCUGACGUUGAAGGGACGUUGAAGGGACUGUGACGCAAGCACCCCUCGCUUGAUUGUCCAAGGUGACACAAUGAAGCCGAGGACAUGGAUGCUGUCUUUGGAGGGUCAAGUGGUCAUGGGGCCUCACCCUGACUUUACAACUGGUCUGCCAUUUUUGACAAUGCUUCUUGCACUCUGGAAUUUAUCCAAAGGUGCUUCUUGGGAAUAAAUCCAGAGACAGGCAUGAAGUCAAAGAGGCAGAGAGGUCACAUCAACCAACAAGUCUGCACACUAAUCAGAAAACUUGUUGAUUUUGAAUGGAUGACAGUCUAGAAUGAAAGCAGUGUUUCGCCAGAACAGACCAACCAAACACUGGCUCGGUGUUAAGUUGCAUGCAGUUAUGCAGUAAGUUAGUCAUUAAAUAUGUUCUUAUAGUGUCUCUUCGUUCAAUGGAGAGAAGUAAAAUAAAUGUGUAAGAAUAAAUG